GACGAACGCUGGCGGCGUGCUUAACACAUGCAAGUCGAACGAUGAAGCCUAGCUUGCUAGGUGGAUUAGUGGCGAACGGGUGAGUAAUACGUGAGUAACCUACCUUUAACUCUGGGAUAAGCCCGGGAAACUGGGUCUAAUACCGGAUACGACCAAUCUCCGCAUGGGGUGUUGGUGGAAAGCGUUAUGUAGUGGUUAUAGAUGGGCUCACGGCCUAUCAGCUUGUUGGUGAGGUAACGGCUCACCAAGGCGACGACGGGUAGCCGGCCUGAGAGGGUGACCGGCCACACUGGGACUGAGACACGGCCCAGACUCCUACGGGAGGCAGCAGUGGGGAAUAUUGCACAAUGGGCGCAAGCCUGAUGCAGCGACGCCGCGUGAGGGAUGACGGCCUUCGGGUUGUAAACCUCUGUUAGCAGGGAAGAAGAGAGAUUGACGGUACCGGGAGAAAAAGCGCCGGCUAACUACGUG
rnacentral:rRNA from 1 species